rnacentral:misc_RNA from 1 species
GAUGAAGAACGCAGCGAAAUGCGAUAAGUAAUGUGAAUUGCAGAAUUCAGUGAAUCAUCGAAUCUUUGAACGCACCUUGCGCUCCCUGGUAUUCCGGGGAGCACGCCUGUUCGAGUGUUGCGAUAUUCUUCAAGCCUUGGAUGGAUUUUUUUUUUGUCUGUCCUUGGGCCUGGUUGUUGGGCUCUGCCGUGUCCUUCAUUGGGACGGCUGGCCUUAAAAGCAUUAGCCGAUCCUCGUGUGGUACUGGUUCUACUCAGCGUGAUAACAAUCUGAUCGUUGAGGACAUCUUCUGGAUGGCCAGUCAUCAUUUGGGUUGCUUCUAAACCGGUUUCGCAGAUUGCUCAAUCUGUGUGCCACUUUUCAGCUUUGACCUCGAAUCAGGUGGGACUACCCGCUGAACUUAAGCAUAUCAAUAAGCGGAGGA